rnacentral:rRNA from 1 species
UACGGAGGGUCCAAGCGUUAUCCGGAAUCAUUGGGUUUAAAGGGUCCGUAGGCGGUUUUGCAAGUCAGUGGUGAAAGCCCAUCGCUCAACGGUGGAACGGCCAUUGAUACUGCAAGACUUGAAUUAUUGGGAAGUAACUAGAAUAUGUAGUGUAGCGGUGAAAUGCUUAGAGAUUACAUGGAAUACCAAUUGCGAAGGCAGGUUACUACCAAUAUAUUGACGCUGAUGGACGAAAGCGUGGGGAGCGAACAGG